AUUGAACGCUAGCGGGAUGCUUUACACAUGCAAGUCGAACGAGAGGAGGACGGGUGAGUAAUAUAUCGGAACGUGACCAGUAGCGGGGGAUAAAUACUAGAAAGAGUGGCUAAAACCGCAUACUAUUGGCGCGGCCGAUAUCGGAUUAGCUAGUUGGUGGGGUAAAGGCUCACCAAGGAAAAGAUCCGUAGCUGGUUUGAGAGGACGACCAGCCACACGUGGACUGAGACACGGCCCAGACUCCUACGGUAGGCAGCAGUGGGGAAUUUUGGACAAGGGGGGAAACUCUGAUCCAGCCAUCCCGCGUGUAUGAGAAGGCCUUCGGGUUGUAAAGUCCUUUUGGCAGAGAAGCGGUAUCUGCAGAAUAAGCACCGGCUAACUACGUGCCAGCAGCCGCGGUAAUAC
rnacentral:rRNA from 1 species